rnacentral:rRNA from 1 species
CUACGGGGGGCAGCAGUGGGGAAUAUUGCACAAUGGGCGCAAGCCUGAUGCAGCCAUGCCGCGUGUAUGAAGAAGGCCUUCGGGUUGUAAAGUACUUUCAGCGGGGAGGAAGGGAGUAAAGUUAAUACCUUUGCUCAUUGACGUUACCCGCAGAAGAAGCACCGGCUAACUCCGUGCCAGCAGCCGCGGUAAUACGGAGGGUGCAAGCGUUAAUCGGAAUUACUGGGCGUAAAGCGCACGCAGGCGGCUUGUUAAGUCAGAUGUGAAAUCCCCGGGCUCAACCUGGGAACUGCAUUUGAUACUGGCAAGCUUGAGUCUCGUAGAGGGGGGUAGAAUUCCAGGUGUAGCGGUGAAAUGCGUAGAGAUCUGGAGGAAUACCGGUGGCGAAGGCGGCCCCCUGGACGAAGACUGACGCUCAGGUGCGAAAGCGUGGGGAGCAAACAGGAUUAGAUACCCCGGUAGUC